CCACUAUCGAUGUUUUUUCUUUAUUUUACAACUGUUCGAGGGAAAAGUAUAAACUACAAGCGACUACAAGUGGUGUUGGUUGGGAAGUUCGCGAAAAGGGCUCUUGAAAAUGGGCAAGUAUCUUCAUAUGAUCACAUAAACAUAUUUUAACAUCUUCAACUUCCAAGGAAAUUGAAAAUCCAGGAGAAAAACGAAAAAGAGGAGCUGUCUCUGCGGUGUGGAAUAUUUUCAAUAGGACCCGGGAUGCAAAUAUAACCAUUUGUAAGUUGUGUGGCAAAACUUACAAAUCGAGCGGCAAUACAACAAACCUGAGGGACCAUUUGAAUCGAAUUCAUCCGGAAGCUAAGGCCGAUGGAUCCCGGAAGUUGGACUUUGUUAUGGAUAAAUAUUUGGAGAAAGAACUUCCAAGCAAAACGCAUUUACGUAGUGCUGUUUAAAUUACAAAUAGUACUUGACAAAGUUAAAUUUGUGGCUGUAACUACAGAUGCUUGGACAUAUAGAGCUAACGAUGGUUAUCUCUCCGUCACUUGCCACUACAUUAAUAUUCAAUUUGAACUGAAUUCGGCGGUAUUGUCAACAGAAAAAUUAUGAACACCGACCAAUCAUAAGACUGAAAACAUUGCCGAUUCGCCUUGAAUUGUUUUAAAUGAGACAACAAGAUUGUGGCGAUAGUGUCUGACAACGAUGCAUCUAUGAAAAAGGCUUACGAAAUUCUCAAAAUAGGAAAUGUUCCAUGUUUUGCACACACAAUAAACUUGCUGAGGCAAGAUCUUUUAUAGCAACCAUUCUUAACGCAAAUUCUAGGCAAAUGCAAGCGUAACGUAUCUCACGUAGCUUACGAAAUGUUUAAAAUAGCCCAGAGGGUUAAUCCCUAUGGUCUAAUACGAGAGGUGCCAACAAGGUGAAGUAGUCCGUUUCAAAAGCUCCAGCGCUUUAUAGUUACCAACGAAUCUAUCUCGAGCACGCUCUUAAACAUUCCAUAUCCGCAGAUGAUAUAAACACCAUAAAAGAAUUGGUUUUCCUCAUGAAAUUGUGACAAUUUCCGUUGAUAAGCGAGUCACCAUAUCAAUUGUAAGUCCACACAUCUGUGAGCUACACAAGGGCUUAAAUAAAACACAAUGUUAAGAACAACAGGAGGUUAUGACUGCUCUAAAUUAUCUUAAGGAAUGCCUGCCUACACGCCUCUUUCAAUUCGCGACACGUACAAUACCCAUAAUUGCUACCAUUAUCAAUCCUCGAUUUGGAAAAGGUGGCUUUUUGUCAGCCUUAAUUGUCGAACAGGCUUCCAAAGCUUUAGAGGAAGAACUGUCCAUUGAAAUGUCGAAACUCAAGCAAAUCCCUCAACCAACGCCGCCAACAACAAAACCACUCAGGUUUUCCUUAAUGAUGGAAAAAAUUCAAUCCAAAGUCUCGACAUCUAAAAGUAGUGUCAUAAUUGUCUUGCACUUGGAGCAGCAUUUGGCGAAUCCAAUUGCAUCAGAGGAAUGCAAUCCACUGGAAUAUUGAAAGGUAAGAAAGUGGAUUAUUUAGCAAGGUAGGACAAAUAAUAUCGGAUAGACGUUGCUCUUUAAAAUCUAGUGCCGUAAACAAACUUUUGUUUUUAAACAAAAAUCUCUAAAAUUAUCUCUAAUCCUUGUUUUUUUUUUUAAUGACAAUAAAAAUAAGCUUUAAAAGAACGUACUUUUAAUUUCAAUUAGUUAUAAUAAAAGUUACCAAAUGAAUGAA